rnacentral:rRNA from 1 species
AGGAUGUUGGCUUAGAAGCAGCCAUCAUUUAAAGAAAGCGUAAUAGCUCACUGGUCGAGUCGGCCUGCGCGGAAGAUGUAACGGGGCUAAACCAUGCACCGAAGCUGCGGCAGCGACACUGUGUGUUGUUGGGUAGGGGAGCGUUCUGUAAGCCUGUGAAGGUGUGUCGUGAGGCAUGCUGGAGGUAUCAGAAGUGCGAAUGCUGACAUAAGUAACGAUAAAGCGGGUGAAAAGCCCGCUCGCCGGAAGACCAAGGGUUCCUGUCCAACGUUAAUCGGGGCAGGGUGAGUCGACCCCUAAGGCGAGGCCGAAAGGCGUAGUCGAUGGGAAACGGGUUAAUAUUCCCGUACUUGGUGUUACUGCGAAGGGGGGACGGAGAAGGCUAUGUUGGCCGGGCGACGGUUGUCCCGGUUUAAGCGUGUAGGUGUGUGUUCCAGGUAAAUCCGGUUCACUUUAACACUGAGGCGUGACGACGAGGCACUACGGUGCUGAAGCAACAAAUGCCCUGCUUCCAGGAAAAGCCUCUAAGCAUCAGGUAACAUCAAAUCGUACCCCAAACCGACACAGGUGGUCAGGUAGAGAAUACCAAGGCGCUUGAGAGAACUCGGGUGAAGGAACUAGGCAAAAUGGUGCCGUAACUUCGGGAGAAGGCACGCUGACACGUAGGUGAAGUGAUUUACUCAUGGAGCUGAAGUCAGUCGAAGAUACCAGCUGGCUGCAACUGUUUAUUAAAAACACAGCACUGUGCAAACACGAAAGUGGACGUAUACGGUGUGACGCCUGCCCGGUGCCGGAAGGUUAAUUGAUGGGGUCAGCGCAAGCGAAGCUCCUGAUCGAAGCCCCGGUAAACGGCGGCCGUAACUAUAACGGUCCUAAGGUAGCGAAAUUCCUUGUCGGGUAAGUUCCGACCUGCACGAAUGGCGUAAUGAUGGCCAGGCUGUCUCCACCCGAGACUCAGUGAAAUUGAACUCGCUGUGAAGAUGCAGUGUACCCGCGGCAAGACGGAAAGACCCCGUGAACCUUUACUAUAGCUUGACACUGAACAUUGAGCCUUGAUGUGUAGGAUAGGUGGGAGGCUUUGAAGUGUGGACGCCAGUCUGCAUGGAGCCGACCUUGAAAUACCACCCUUUAAUGUUUGAUGUUCUAACGUGGACCCGUUACCCGGGUUGCGGACAGUGUCUGGUGGGUAGUUUGACUGGGGCGGUCUCCUCCUAAAGAGUAACGGAGGAGCACGAAGGUUGGCUAAUCCUGGUCGGACAUCAGGAGGUUAGUGCAAUGGCAUAAGCCAGCUUGACUGCGAGCGUGACGGCGCGAGCAGGUGCGAAAGCAGGUCAUAGUGAUCCGGUGGUUCUGAAUGGAAGGGCCAUCGCUCAACGGAUAAAAGGUACUCCGGGGAUAACAGGCUGAUACCGCCCAAGAGUUCAUAUCGACGGCGGUGUUUGGCACCUCGAUGUCGGCUCAUCACAUCCUGGGGCUGAAGUAGGUCCCAAGGGUAUGGCUGUUCGCCAUUUAAAGUGGUACGCGAGCUGGGUUUAGAACGUCGUGAGACAGUUCGGUCCCUAUCUGCCGUGGGCGCUGGAGAACUGAGGGGGGCUGCUCCUAGUACGAGAGGACCGGAGUGGACGCAUCACUGGUGUUCGGGUUGUCAUGCCAAUGGCACUGCCCGGUAGCUAAAUGCGGAAGAGAUAAGUGCUGAAAGCAUCUAAGCACGAAACUUGCCCCGA